rnacentral:rRNA from 1 species
AGUGAACGCUGGCGGUAGGCCUAACACAUGCAAGUCGAACAGCAGCACAGGAGAGCUUGCUCUCUGGGUGGCGAGUGGCGGACGGGUGAGGAAUACAUCGGAAUCUACCUUUUCGUGGGGGAUAACGUAGGGAAACUUACGCUAAUACCGCAUACGACCUACGGGUGAAAGUGGGGGACCGCAAGGCCUCACGCGAUUAG